UACGGGAGGCAGCAGUGGGGAAUAUUGCACAAUGGGCGAAAGCCUGAUGCAGCUAUGCCGCGUGUAUGAAGAAGGCCUUAGGGGUUGUAAAGUACUUUCAUCGGGGAGGAAAAAACAAAACUAAUAAUUUUAUUUCUUGACGUUACCCGAAAAAGAAGCACCGGCUAACUCCGUGCCAGCAGCCGCGGUAAUACGGAGGGUGCUAGCGUUAAUCAGAAUUACUGGGCGUAAAGAGCACGUAGGUGGUUUUUUUAAAGUCAGAUGUGAAAUCCCUGGGCUUAACCUAGGAACUGCAUUUUGAAACUGAAAUACUAGAGUAUCGUAGAGGGAGGUAGAAUUCUAGGUGUAGCGGUGAAAUGCGUAGAUAUCUGGAGGAAUACCUGUGGCGAAAGCGGCCUCCUAAACGAAUACUGACACUGAGGUGCGAAAGCGUGGGGAGCAAACAGGGAUUAGAUACC
rnacentral:rRNA from 1 species